rnacentral:lncRNA from 1 species
UUUCUGGUCGCUUCUCUGCGAACGCGCGCUUGUUCCUGCGGCGGUGCCUGCCUGUGUCGUCGUCCCUGUUUGUUCUUCUUCAAACCUCAGGAUUUCUCCGUGUUUCCCAGACCGUAACGUUUAGAAUAGUUCACCAGUGAAGUCAUCUCAACCAGCACAGGGCCUUGACUCCUAACAACAAUCACACGAACUUGGAAGAGGAGCCUUCCCCAACUGAACCUUCGCUUGAGACCUCGUCCUUGGCCAUCCUCUACAUCUGGAUUCAUGAUACAGAGAAACUUGAGUAAUGAUGACACUAGCAGUCCAGCCUGCAUGGAUGCUGACAUGGAUGCUGUCUCCCAUUCUUACCACUGGAUGGGAAGAAAUGCUAGAUGCAAUCCAGCCAGUCUGUACUCGACUGUCAGUUCCAUCUUCUCAACUCACAGUGUCUUCCAAAGUCCGUGCCACACCACAGCCUGGAACAUCUCCCAAGGUUUCAAAUAAUUCAUCAGUGAAUUCUUCUCAACCUGGUCAAUCAUGUGAACUUAGAAGAUGAUUCCUCCCCAGCUGAUCCUCAGGUGAGACAUCAGCCUUGGCCAUCAUCUACAUCUGGAUUCCUGACCCAGAGAAACUGGAACACUAAGACCCAUUCUUCUUCUCAAGUAUCCAAAAAUAAAGUUGAUCCAAGUAAGAAGUGGACAGCAUAAAAGAUUGUAUGGAAGCUAUAAUGCAUCUACAUCUGCAGUAACUAAUCAUAAAAUGAUUUGUAUGAUCAUUCUUCACAUGAUUAGAAUUACUAUGGGAAAGAAGAAAAAGAAAUGCCUCUCUGGAUGGUGACUAUAACCUAUAGCCUUGCCCAAUAUGACUCAGGAUUUGGUACUGGCUGUGCCUUUCAUGGGAUGCUUACUUAUCCUGGUCGAUGGCCUAAAGCCCAACCGUCCAGCUUAUAUCCAGGG